UGGCGGCAGGCCUAACACAUGCAAGUCGAGCGGUAGCAGAUCUAGCUUGCUAGAUGCUGACGAGCGGCGGACGGGUGAGUAACGCGUAGGAACCUGCCCAGUAGUGGGGGAUAGCCCGGGGAAACUCGGAUUAAUACCGCAUACGCUCUACGGAGGAAAGAGGGGGCUUCGGCUCUCGCUAUUGGAUGGGCCUGCGUGAGAUUAGCUAGUUGGUGAGGUAAUGGCUCACCAAGGCGACGAUCUCUAGCUGGUCUGAGAGGAUGAUCAGCCACACUGGGACUGAGACACGGCCCAGACUCCUACGGGAGGCAGCAGUGGGGAAUAUUGCACAAUGGGCGCAAGCCUGAUGCAGCCAUGCCGCGUGUGUGAAGAAGGCUUUCGGGUUGUAAAGCACUUUCAGUGGGGAGGAAGGCCUCGUAGUUAAUAGCUGCGAGGAUUGACGUUACCCACAGAAGAAGCACCGGCUAACUCCGUG
rnacentral:rRNA from 1 species